AAGGCAUAAUGAGAAUGAAUUUAUGAAACAUUAUCUGAUCAUUUUGAUGAUCUAUAAUCUCCUACUCAUUCUGA